GACAGAGGGUGCAAACGUUGUUCGGAAUUACUGGGCGUAAAGGGCUCGUAGGCGGCCAACUAAGUCGGAUGUGAAAUCCCCAGGCUCAACCUGGGAACUGCAUCCGAUACUGGAUGGCUUGAAUCCGGGAGAGGGAUGCAGAAUUCCAGGUGUAGCGGUGAAAUGCGUAGAUAUCUGGAGGAAUACCGGUGGCGAAGGCGGCAUCCUGGACCGGCAUUGACGCUGAGGAGCGAAAGCUAGGGGAGCAAACGGG
rnacentral:rRNA from 1 species